CAAACGCAUCCAAUGCCACGUCACCACACGAGAACCCGUAUGUCCUCAAGCUGUUCACUGUGUGACUAAUCAAUACAUUAAAAUGUUUCAAACAAAUUAUUUUGCUUUUAGUUUGCGCCCGCCCAUAAACUCCCUCAUACUAGCGCAAUUAAUAAUCUAUUUAACCUAUUUUUGAAAAUAAAUUGUAAAGAAAUUUUGCAAGUAUCUUUUUUCAUAUCUAUGCAGAAAUAAUAUAUAAAACUAGGCACAAUUUGUUUAACUUGAGUACCGUUUAUGAAUCUGUCUAGUAUUUGUUUACUAAAUUCUACAGAACACCAACAACCAUGAAGAUUUACGUUGCCGUUCUCAUCUUAUGUAUCUGCGUGUCUGUUUUUGCUGAUGAAGAAACUGAAGGUGGUGACUAUGAUGACCAGCCUUAUGAUGACGGUGAGAGCGUAGCCACGUGGUCGGAAUGUGCCGAGUGCAUGCGUGACGACGGUGAUGUGAGGUGUGACUUCAGCAAAUGUAAAAAGUAGGACACCACGACCGACACAAGUUUUUCAGGUUUCCAUAACAUACCACACUAACUUCUCAAACAGACGAUGAAUCCUAUAUCCAACAUUUAAAGGCACGAAAUUUCGAGAGUUAUUUUCAUUUGGAGGUGAUAAAGUGAUUAAAAAAUUUAU